CUUUGGGAUAACCCUCGGAAACGGGGGCUAAUACCGAAUAUUACUUCUGGCCGCAUGACUGGGGGUGGAAAGUUUUUCGGCUUGGGAUGGGCUCGCGGCCUAUCAGCUUAUUGGUGGGGUGAUGGCCUACCAAGGCGACGACGGGUAGCCGGCCUGAGAGGGCGACCGGCCACACUGGGACUGAGACACGGCCCAGACUCCUACGGGAGGCAGCAGUGGGGAAUAUUGCACAAUGGGCGGAAGCCUGAUGCAGCGACGCCGCGUGAGGGAUGACGGCCUUCGGGUUGUAAACCUCUUUCAGCAGGGACGAAGCGGAAGUGACGGUACCUGCAGAAGAAGCGCCGGCCAACUACGUGCCAGCAGCCGCGGUAGGACGUAGGGCGCGAGCGUUGUCCGGAUUUAUUGGGCGUAAAGAGCUCGUAGGCGGCUUGCCGCGUCGACCGUGAAAACUUGGGGCCCAAUCCCAAGCCUGCGGUCGAUACGGGCAGGCUAGAGUUCGGUAGUGGAGACUGGAAUUCCUGGUGUAGCGGUGAAAUGCGCAGAUAUCAGGAGGAACACCGGUGGCGAAGGCGGGUCUCUGGGCCGAUACUGACGCUGAGGAGCGAAAGCGUGGGGAGCGAACAGGAUUAGAUACCCUGCAGUCCACGCUGUAAACGUUGGGCGC
rnacentral:rRNA from 1 species